AUCCAUUGUCAGAGAUGGAGGCUCUUUCCAUCAACGCACCAACUCAGGAUUCUACUUUGCCCUCCGGAGUAAAUUUCAGGUCAGAUGUGCUUCUCAUUCUCUGGAGCCGUUGGGUGAGAAGAAGACAAUUUCUUAUUUUUAUACAUCAAACAAAUUUCUUGUAAUUUUCAUUUAUUUUCUAAACAUUAAAAAGAUAAGGGAAAAUUAGAUUGGGUACCACUUUUCAGAGAAAGUUUAGGCUUAGUACCACAUUUGGAAAAAUCUUUUGAAAUGUACCACAUUUCAAUGCCACAUGCUUAAAGCCGGACGAAAUUGCCCUUGAUGGAGAGAGAAGUGUGUCAGAGAAAGGGACAACUUGGGACAGGAGGGAGCAGUCUGCAUUUAAUGCUGCACGUUUACAAAAUUUAUGUCGUCCUUUUUGUCUCUCUCCUGGCACAUUGGUAACCGUUUUCGUCCCUGUCUGGUAAAACGAAGUUGUCCCCGAGUAAAUCCAGAUCUUCGUCUUCGGCUCUCUGGCAGAAUAAAAUAAAGAUCAAGUUGUCCCCGAGUUAAUCCAGAUAUCUGGCUGGUAAAACCACACCAUCUGGCGAUGGAUAAUUAAGAGAUGUUGUCCCCGAGUAAAUCCAGAUCUCUGCAGGCUGGUAAAACCAUAUCAUCUGGGAUUCAUGAUAAUAGAGCAAGCUGAUGAAAUCGGGGACAAGAUCUAGACGCAACAGAGAAUUUUCAAUCGGGGACAAGAGCUAGAGACAAAACGAAAGCGUUUAUUAUGAGACAAGAUCUGAAGAAGAAAGAGAAAGGGAAAGUGAGAGAGAGACGAAAGUGUUUUGUGUUUCUCUGAGGGGGAUAAUGAUGUGGGGUUAAAGUGCACAGAUCUCGAGGGAUGAGAGAUUAAUAGGGAAUAGAAAAAGUGGAUAUUGUGAAGUAGUAAGGGCAAAAUGGUAACUUUGCAUGUAAAUGUGGUAUGAUUUGAAAGAAGGAUAGGAAUGUGGUAGAUUUUGAAAGAAAUUGGAAAAAAGUGGUACAUUUGGCAAAAA